ACGCUCGACACCUACGGAGGCAGCAGUCGGGAAUAUUGCGCAAUGGAGGAAACUCUGACGCAGUGACGCCGCGUGCAGGAAGAAGGUUUUCGGAUUGUAAACUGCUUUAGACAAGGAAGAACAAAUGACAGUACCUGUAGAAUAAGCUCCGGCUAACUACGUGUCAGCAGCCGCGGUAAUCUGAGCGGGCUGGCAAGGC
rnacentral:rRNA from 1 species